UCUGCUCUCCUCACAAGACCAAGGUCUAAGUCUCUUUGUGCCUGUUUUCCAUGGAUCUCUGUCAGUCCCUACAGCAUGGAAAACGACUCCUAGGUGGGCAGCUUUUCAACUGUCACCUCUGCAAAGCACUCAAGUGGGCUGUGAUUUCUGCAGUAAUUAUGAAGACGGUUGUCCUGGUGUCUGGGAUAUGGCCAUACUGAAUUCCUGGAGUCAUCCCUCAUGGUGGCUGAGGCUGGAUGACUAUCGGGGAUGGACAAGAGGAGGUAAAUCUCACAGACAGAUGGCCUGCUUGCCACCUGAGACAGAGGGAUACUGUCUUCCAUUUUAACUCAUAAAAUAUGUUUUGGGAUGUAGACAUUUUUCAUGCAUAAAUCUUCAACACUGAAAGUUCAAUCUU
rnacentral:sRNA from 1 species